AACGAACGCUGGCGGCAGGCUUAACACAUGCAAGUCGAACGGGCGUAGCAAUACGUCAGUGGCGGACGGGUGAGUAACACGUGGGAAUGUGCCUUUCGGUUCGGAACAACUCGGGGAAACCCGUGCUAAUUCCGGAUACGCCCUUACGGGGAAAGAUUUAUCGCCGAAAGAUCAGCCCGCGUCCGAUUAGCUAGUUGGUGAGGUAAAGGCUCACCAAGGCACCGAUCGGUAGCUGGUUUGAGAGAACGACCAGCCACACUGGGACUGAGACACGGCCCAGACUCCUACGGGAGGCAGCAGUGGGGAAUCUUGGACAAUGGGCGCAAGCCUGAUCCAGCCAUGCCGCGUGAGUGAUGAAGGCCU
rnacentral:rRNA from 1 species